GGUCGAGAAGUCGAACGGGCAGGGGUGCAGGCUUGCGUAGCUGACUCAAAAAUCCAUGAUGUCGACAACCAUGUAGUGCUGCCUGCGUUCGGGAGACGAACAUGUGCGUUCGAGAGACGAACAUGUGCGUUCGAAUAUACAUAUAGCGGCCACCCAGGAAUCCUGUUUGCAGUUAAUAGCCAGGGGUGGUCUGUGAUUACGAGGUGUUAACAAGGGGACCACACAGUCUGUUCGGUAACCGAACAGAAGGGCAACAAUUCCAUUCAAAUUCCAUUUGAAAGUAGUACCCUCGACUUAUCCACGAGCAUAUUUUACAAUUG